rfam:Asian citrus Psyllid, Diaphorina citri - Florida Strain, whole genome shotgun sequence.
GUCGCCGAAUAAGCACGUUGAAUGCUCCAGUUCCCGAUGGAUCACUGAAGUUAAGCAACUUUGCGCGUGGUUGGUAUCCGGAUGGUUCAAUACCUGGGCAAUCGCGUGCAGCUGACU